rnacentral:lncRNA from 1 species
GGCGACCCCAAUCCCAAAGCCAUGUGUAUUGCGCGUGUGUCCGCUACAGGAAUGUGCGUUUCAUCCCUAAUGUCUUGUGUGCCUGGUGAGUGCGAGUGGUGGCAACGUGGCACGUGCAAGUGAGCAUUCGUCCACACAGGGGACCGAUCCGCGUGGGACAGCUCACACGUGUCUGAAACUACCCCACCAGGAUCCCCUGGCUCUCUCUCCGCCUCUGGGAGACCGAAUUCAGGUGCACACUCUUCAAUUCUCGCCUACCCACCCCAAACCCAUCUUGGAACGCAUGCUGUCUGCAGUUGAGGCAAAGGCAGUCUCUUGCCCGGUGUCAGCCUGAAGCAAAUUCGGUGUGGAGGGUCCUCAGUGCUCAUCGUCUUUUUUGAAAUGGAAUGGAGGCUGAUGUGUCUCAUUGUCAAAGAGCGAACAAACAAACAAAACACAUUUUUAUCAAUAAAACAUUUUUAAAUGCC